CUGAAAUGUAAAGGACACUGAAGCCUUCAUUUAUUUGUACUAAUAUGAUGGUGUUAUAUACUGCAUCAUUAGCUAGUUACGUUUUUCUGACCUGACUUCUCUGUCUUUGUAGGUAUUUAUUUGUUACCUUUUAAUCUUGUGUAUCUGAAUUAGUUAAUAGUUAUCCACCGAAUAACUAUGCCAAGCAACUAGGAAAGAAUGUUUAUUUGAUUUCCCCUUAUAGGGGAAGAGUGGACUGGGAACAAAAAUGUAUGGGCCAGAAGGCCCUGGGUUGUCAUUCACUCACUUUCUUAUUCCUCUCAUGAGCUGUAUUUGAGUAUAAGUAUUUUCCAGUGCUGAUGUACUUGAUUAUGUCAUUACUUUCCAUGUCUUCCUUUGAGUUGAAAGCCUGCUAGGAACUUGUAUAAAAUUCAUUAAUACAAUUUUCAGAAUAAGAACCCCAAAACUCAGUAUCUUAUACUUCAGUGCUACUCAAAUUAUUACUGGAAUCCAAGUCUCACUAAGUAGGACAUAUUUUUAUAAAAUGUUUCUCUGAAUCUUAAAAUUAACUUUUUGAGAGGCAAGAGUUCUUUGGGAUAUACCACAUUUUUAGAUUUUUUUUUUUUGAAAGGAAAAUAAGAUAUACUAGUUAAUGAUUUUGAUGUUAGUAUUUUAAGGUACACCAGUGGCCCCAAACCUGACUGUUCAUUAGAAUUACUCUGAAGAGCUUUUAAGGUACAGAUUCCUGAAACCUACCACUAGAAAAUUUUCAUUGUGUCUAGAAUGGGACCUGGGAAUUCUGUGUUUUUAAAGCUUUUCCUAGUGAUACUAAUAGUCAGAUUUGGGAAAUAUGUUUUAAUAAUGGGACAGUGGUUUGAGAGUAGGCAACAAAAUGAAAGUUUACCAGAGCUUUCUCUGGUAGUUAUUUUCCCCCUUUUAUUUCUUUUUUAAAACUGGGACCAGAUGUCACAGAACUUAAGAUAAUAUGGAGGAAUAAGACUGAGGCUAUUGUUCAUUAUCAUUUUUGUCUUUCACACUUUUUUAAAAGUUUGCAUUUCUAGGACUUGGAUAGUUGAUCAUAAAUAUACAGCUGAAGGACAUGACCCUGAAUGAGACCAUUAUAUAUAUAACUGUAAAAUAUUUCACUAUUUUUUUAUUUUAUAAAUCUUUGUAGAAAUAAGCAAUGAAAUACUACUUUCAUUUUUUGAAAUGGGAUUUUUCAAGGUAGUGUCCUUUGGCAUUAAGGUAGGGGGGAGCUAAUAUUCUCUCUACCUGUUUCCACAUGAAUCAGUAUAAAAUCAUGGACAUUUAAAAAUCUCAGUUUUUACUUAUGUACUAUGCAGUGUAGCUGUGAACAAGUAAUUAGGUUUAGUUUUCUCUUCAAAUGCCCUGAUCACCCUACCUCACAGGGUUGUUGUGGGGGUAAAUAAAACUUUUAUGGAAGCAC
rnacentral:lncRNA from 1 species